AACGAACGCUGGCGGCAGGCUUAACACAUGCAAGUCGAACGCCCCGCAAGGGGAGUGGCAGACGGGUGAGUACCGCGUGGGAACAUACCCUUUUCUACGGAAUAGCUCUGGGAAACUGGAAUUAAUACCGGAUACGCCCUACGGGGGAAAGAUUUAUCGGGGAAGGGUUGGCCCGCGUUGGAUUAGGUGGUUGGUGGGGUAAAGGCCUACCAAGGCGACGAUCCAUAGCUGGUCUGAGAGGAUGAUCAGACACAUUGGGACUGAGACACGGCCCAAACUCCUGCGCGAGGCAGCAGUGGGGAAUAUUGGACAAUGGGCGCUAGCCUGAUCCAGCCAUGCCGCGUGAGUGAUGAAGGCCUUAGGGUUGUAAAGCUCUUUCACCGAUGAAGAUAAUGACGGUAGUCGGAGAAGAAGCCCCGGCUAACUUCGUG
rnacentral:rRNA from 1 species